rnacentral:rRNA from 1 species
UACGAAGGGGGCUAGCGUUGUUCGGAAUCACUGGGCGUAAAGCGCACGUAGGCGGAUUGUUAAGUCGGGGGUGAAAUCCUGAGGCUCAACCUCAGAACUGCCUUCGAUACUGGCAAUCUCGAGUCCGGAAGAGGUUGGUGGAACAGCUAGUGUAGAGGUGAAAUUCGUAGAUAUUAGCUAGAACACCAGUGGCGAAGGCGGCCAACCGGUCCGGUACUGACGCUGAGGUGCGAAAGCGUGGGGAGCAAACAGG